GCCACAGCCAUAUCACCCUGCAGCGGGAAGCUCACUGAAGCUAAGCAGGGCUGAACCUGGUCGGUAUCUGGAUGGGAGACGACAUGGGAACACUAGGCUGCUGUUGGCA
rfam:Danio rerio chromosome 10 genomic contig CTG3055, GRCz11 reference primary assembly.